rnacentral:lncRNA from 1 species
AGCCCAUCACAAUUCCUUCCAACUAAAAUGCAAAAAUACACACCCAAUCACAUUCCCUUGAAACAAUUCCUUAAAGUCGGCUUCUUUAAGUUGUGGUCUUCUCUCGUGGGGGGCUUGAUGUCAAGCCCAUAACUUGUCCUCUUAGUAGUACUAGCAAAAGGCCCAUGCGUUGCAACGGGAGAAAAAAAUACCACACGCUUUUAAUCUUUUUAUAAUCAUUUUGAUUUAUUAAAAUAAUGAUGGAGCGCGGGUUGAAUAAUAAAAAUUACAGGGGCUUUUUUAUAAAAAUGCCGCGGUGGGUUUUCCGACGGAAGCAAUAGCCUCUUUAUUAUUAGGUAUAGAUUAGGUAGGUUGCUUUGUUUCCUAUGGGUAUCUGUAAUAGACUAUCUAGUGUUUCUUUUCGUCACUACUUUCGGACUAGAGUUUUGCUGCUGGUUUUAGUUCCUUAAGAUCUGUUGGUUUAUAUAUAUAUAUAUAUAAUCGGAGAGGGCAGCCUCUCUUUUGCUCAAAAAUAAUAAUCACAAUCCCUUGAAACCAAAUUAGGCAGCCCAUCACUAUCCCUUGAAACCAAACUGUGCGCAGCCCAUCACAAUACCUUAAAACCAAACUGCGCAGCCCAUCACAAUACCUUGAAACCAAAAUAAGCAGCCCAUUGCAAUCCCUUAAAACCAAACUGCGCAGCCCAUCACAAUACCUUCAAACCAAACUGUGGACAGCCCAUCACAAUCCCUUAAAACUAAACUGCGCAGGCAAUCACAAUCCCUUAAAACCAAGCCGUGCAGCCCAUCACAAUUCCUUAAAAACCAAAAUGGAAAUCCCAUCACAAUCCCUUAAAACCAANNN